CCUCAAGAUUAGAAUCUCACCAGGAAAAGCCUAUUUCUGUUUGUCACUCUCUGCUCGUGUUCUGUGUGUAGUAUUAUUGCUAUAGGCUUAUUUUCUAGGGUUAUGAUCCUUAUGUAACCAUCUGUCUCUCAAUGUUCUAGAAGCUUCUGUAACUGUCCCUCUUCUUGUCAGUUCCCCUUCAUUUCCCUUCCCUUUCCUUCCUCCACUAUUCUCUCUUAACCCAUUAUAUAAUACUGCAAUAUUAUAUCAAUGUGAGGUUUAAAACAGGUUCAUCUUCUAGUCUUUUCUAGUCUGGUUUCAGGACAAGGACAAGACAGGAUUCAAGGACAAAGACAUUACAAGAAUUUUGCUGCUCCUAUGGACAGCUUAUCAAGUUGGCUGCUAUGGGAAGAAAAGGGAGUUGCAGACCCAGGAGGAAAGCAUCAGAUCUUGAGACCAGACAGGGUUGCACUGCAGCUGCAGACACAGUCUCCAUGAGGUGUUUGCUUUGGAGAUGCUGAGAGCCCUGCACAAGCACUGAGCUGCAGCUGGUGAAGUUGGCUUCAGUCAGGAGAAAAUGAGAGGAUGUCUGGAAGAGGCAAAAAAGACACGCUCCCUCCUAUUUGCCUAGUGUCCCGCUGAGUCACCACAGCAAUGACCCUUCACCCCUGGCAGUGGCAGUUGCUUCCAGUAGCAACAGUUGGUUCCAAUUUCCAAAGGGUUUUCCCCCACACUCCCAGAACUGGGUCCAUCACAGCCUCUCAGAGACACCGUUAUCAGCCCAUCAGGCCUCCAUCUUCCAAGGUCAAAGGCUCUGCUCUGCAAAGAUGCUUCUCUGAGUUCCUGAGGACUCACGGGCAGUGUCCACUGUCCAGACAUCUGGGCCCCAGAUUCAUAGACACCACCCAAGCUCUGAGUGGAUCAACCAGCCUAGAAGAGACACUCCUAGGAGGUCUGGGUCCUAUUCUGUGGGGGUCUCUCCACUGACAUCUUAAGGUACCCUCACCACCUAGCAGUGCCCCUCCCCACACAUCCAGGAGCUGCUUCAAGGGGCACUUCCUCCAUGCUUCCACAGUUGGAAAACCCCACCUCAUCCUCUUCCUGUUUGUCUCCUCAACUCUUAGUCACUGCUCCUGCUUUACCUUGGAGUUGCUGGUUUUUUCUUUUUGCCUUUUCUUUCCUAUAAUAAUUACAUAACAAAUCAGUGAACUGAUGAUGUUAAAGACGCUUUCAUUUUAUUAAGUAGUAGAAUGGGUCAUUUCUUAGAAGACUGAUGCAAGGACCUACAGCGGGGGAUACUGGGCCUAGUUCUGGGAUAGUUUUGGAUUUGCCCAACAAACAUAGCAAAGGGAUCUGUCUGAAUCCCACAGACAGAAUAAUUUUCUGUGGUAACUGGGAUCCAAUCCUGGAGACAGGCCUGUAUUUGCCAAGACUGAGCUAAGUACCAAAGUCAAUACUGGUGUUUUUUUUAAAUUUUAUUUUUUACAUCAUUGUUCAUUUUUAAACAAUA